rnacentral:piRNA from 1 species
CAGGUGUGUUUCCGGAUCAGGCUGCU